GAUCAACAAGGUCUGAUCCUGUUGCAUACUCUGUGAGCAUACCAACUGCGAAACCAAACAUAGCCCACCUACAAACAAAACACACAGAGUUAUCUCUUGUCUAGGCAGUACCAACUGACAAGUGUGAAACUUUAGGCUAUAUAUGUCUGAAUUUGAAGAAACAUCAAUGACUAGUAACUUGUUUAUUCAAUACCAGAGCUACCUCAAAUGCAAUUCAAACAAAUCUCUCUAUAUCUAUUAACUUUUUGAGUUAUUAGCAUCCAUCAAUCAAAUACAAGAAUUGAGAUCAUAGCUUAAGUACCUUCCAUUGGAGAUCUCAUUUUUGGGUUGGAAA